UUUGGUCUCCCUUCACAGGCUGGGAAAGGAGAACGUGGAUCCACCUGAGCAGAUCAGAACUGGGAUGGAAAUUUCUCAGGCUGCCCAUUACAAAACAACUACUAUGCAUUCACUUCUCUCUCUUCCUCCCCCAGAAAGCAGCAGCUGAAAUGAGAGACACCAAGAUCUGCCAGAGAUCUUAUUUUUGCCUCAUCCACCCUGUCAGGGUCUUGCACACACCACUGUAGCAAAACACUCGCAAAUUGUAAUUUAGAUCUGCCUGCUACAUAUUCAACUGCACAGGAACAAAAGGCUCUCCUUGUAUUGUGAGUAAUUCCUUCAAAUACCAGCUGUUGCCUGAUUUCUCCAGAAUGGCCAACUCCUACAAUUUUAUACAGCGAGUAGUACUACACACAAUGACUUUCCACUAAAAUAAUUUUCAUACCUAAGGACCUCAUCUCUGAAUCUGGGAUUUAAAGUCAAUUUUUACCCUCAGUGAAUAAAAGCUGAGUGCCUCUAAUGCAAAAAUCAGAAGGCAACACUCACCUAGCUCUGUGUACUAAAAUCUGAAUAUUACACUUUUUUUGGAUGCAACUUGACUACUUCCAUGCAAAAAAAGAAACCAGGGAGAGUCAGGGCCCAAACUAGAAGUAUCCCAGCUCUGCAAGUGAGGACAGGGACCUUCAAGUUGAGAGACCUUUUCAACAGCUGCACCGAUGAUUUCUCAGGAACGGGCUCCAAAUUAGCCUCGUCAAGUUAUUUCAGAGCCACAGGAGGGCAAGAUGUGGAGGAGGACUUCAAGGGUGCUUUCAAACGAAUUGAAUCAGAGGUUUACCCAACCCCGCUCUUUCAGAAGUUUCUGAAUAACGCACCAGCUUGAACCACUGGAAAGAAACAAAUAAAUGAGCUGGCAACUUUCACAGGGAGGAGCCUUGAAGCCCAGUUCCCAAGACCACGCCAGCCAGCUCCGUGUGACAGCACACAGGAAUGAAAAUAGGUAGGUAACAUUAACAGAAAUACACUGAAACUUAAUAACAGCAGCUUGUCAGGACAUGCACCAAAGAGAAAUGGCUCAUAAUAGCUACAGCUUGUAUUAUGAAUGUUUCAUAGCCAUCUGGCUACAGAGCUGCCUGAACUCAGCUCAUGUGUUGUGUGUGCUGUGCUGACCCACCAGGCACGCUCUGGAAGGAGAUUAUCAAGCUCAAGUCAAGCAUCUGUAUUAAAAAGAGACACCAUUUCUCUUGUCAGAUUGAAAAUGCUUUGGAAUAACAAGGCAGCAAUGAACAGAGCUAAAGAGCUAAGGCUGUGUCCUCUUUUGGUGUAAAUCAGGAAGUUUUGCUCAGGAUAAAUGGAGUUAUCCCAAUUUACACUGACUAUAAGAUCCAGCCCCAUUGUAUCAACCCCUUGUUUCAGUCAUAAGUUCCAUGUGUCUAUCAGUAGCUUAAAGCAAAGGCACAGUUUAAAAGGAAAAGUAAUCCCCCUGCCUUUCCUCUCCUGAUCUGAUUCACAUACAAAAUGGGCUUAUGAACUCAAAAAUUAUGGGAGGGAUUCGAGGAGGAGGAAAGGGAGACACAAGAGCCCUUUUAUUUUGCGUCUUAUUCACAAUGAAAAUUGGCACAGAAGCCAACCACAUACAUUAACAUAGUUUGGGCAAGUUUAACUCUCAUGAAUACAUUUCUGUGGAAAAACUAUGUGACUAUGGAAAAAUCCCCUCUUUUUUGCCAUUUGAAAAGAUAACAGGCUUCUAUGUGGAAUAUACCCAGAACCUGCCUGAUUCAGAGACAUGGAAAUACAAAGAUGAAUAAGGCUGUUUCCCAUGCUAGGGGCCCAUGGAAACUGGAAGGGGAGGAAGCAGUAAGGAGGCCCAUUGACUCGGGAGAAAGACUUUCAUCCUACAGGUGAAGGAAGUAUUUGAAGGCACUGGUAACAUUGCAGGCCUGUUCCAGAGCCCAUUUUAGUCACUGACAACAUCACGUUGACUUCACUGCAAUGUGGGUUAGGGCUAAAUAAUUUUAAAAUAUAAUCCAAGGCUAUUUCCACAUCACUAUGUAGUGAGUGGGAUCCAGUUCAGGUGUGCCCAGCCCUGUGACUUACCUGCCUUUUGUCCAUAUUUCUGGCUGCUAGCCUGACUGCUGCUUGGGCCCUAAGUCUCAACAUUGCACUGAGGAAGAGCUGAGCACGGGAUCUUUUUGAAGGUCUGUCUCCAACGGGAAUGCACACCAGACUGCACCCAUAACUAACUCAGGCAACCCAGAGGAAGAAAAGUUCUGGCCACAUGUAGUGGGGCAUCAACUGCACCUCUCUUCUGUCCUCCCCUCCUGUAUACUCUCUCCAAACUCAGGCUGAGGAGGGCUCGUAGUGGGAGUGUUCACCAAGAGCAGAGGGUAUGUCCAUUGAACAACAUGGGCAUUCCUUUGUGUGAUGAUAUAAGUGCAUGGCACCCGGAUUUUGGAAUUCAAAUCCAACCCAGCUGCAGUGAUGAGUUCUAGGGUCCUCUGGCCCAACUGCAGUCCAGAUGUAGCCUUAAGAAUUCUGCAGGAUUUCACAGGUACACAAAAAUAGUGACUUUGACUCCUAGAUCCCUAAUUACAACCUACAAGCUAUUGCCAUUCCCAUAAAAAACCCCAUCUCCUUUGCUCACUGGCACUGUGCAAUGCUAGUCCUGCUCCAGCGCCACAUUCCUGGCAGAGGAUGGUAACCUCAGAAUGAAUAUUUUCUUUUGAAUGAAUGUUUGCUUUAUUAUUAUCAGAUACAAUAGUUUGCAUUGCAAGUCCUUCAUCAGAUCACUUCAGAUGUACAUCACUGUAUCAGGCCUUUAAUAUCAUGCUAAUUUGUUUCAUAAAUUACUAAUUGAACUCCAUAAAUGACUCAUAUUGGUAUGGCAAGUAUCGCCAUAGAGAGAACUCCGUGAUCUCAGAGGAGGAUAAAUCACAGAGCCAUCCUCUCCUGCUAUGUAACACAAAAUUGAACAGUGGGCUAGGAGCAGGACGGGGGAUUUUCUUCCACAAUUAGUGCAGAGCCCUUAUCUCUGUGAUGCAUCUCAUUACCACGUGAAUUGCUCCUGUCCCAGUGUGGAGUUUCCACUGAUGUCAGUGUGUGGAAGAAGCGAGGUGCACAGACCCACACAUCGAGGGCAAAGGAUCUGUGGAUCAGAUCAGGAACAUUCCUUUUCAAGGGCAAGUCCAUCCAAAGUGCUCAGCUGCUUUACUGACAUCUAAUGCACAUCAUCACUGAUGUCAUUGCUGAGUUUGCCUCCACUGGAGAGACUGGGUUUGGCCAGGCUCAGAAAACAGGACUUUUCACAAGUUGUGCAGUGCUGGCCACUUCCUGCCACACAAAAUGCUGCUUUUGCUUUUUCCAAUACAACUGCCUCCAAAGACCGCCUAGAAACAAAGUCACACCUUGCCUGGCUUGGCGGCUGGUGAAGGAUACCUGAUUAUUUCAGGGCCACUUUUCCAAAGGCACCACUCUGUUUCUUGCUGGGCUGGAGGGAGGUCGGAGGCCUUCAGGCAGGUUUGUCUGACUGACCCUUCGCUCACUGACCUGCUGUUGUUCCCCAGGAGCCAGCCUCACCACCACUUGCCUUGCAGCAAAGGAUGGGGUAUUUUUCUAACCCAAAUCCCAACAAUCUGGUAUCUACACCUGCUCAGCCGCAUUCACCUCCCACCAGAGUUAAUGGAGUGAGUAGGCACUUCUGGGAAGAAAAUCACCUGGCCUACAGCAGAUGCCUCCCUUAGGAUGAGAUCAGUAUCACUCCCAGGCAGCUGCAGAGGACAUUUGGCUUCUCAUCAGCCGUCCCUGUCCACCUACAUCCCGAGGAAUUCCAUCCCAGACCAGCAGGAUGUGCUUACUGGGAUCAGCAGGUGGUGUAUGUUCAGCUGCUCUCAGCAACACUCAGCUCACCUGUUCCCAGCGAGGGCAGCUGCCAUCAGGGAAGCAGUGCCCUGUGAAUGUGCCCUUCAGAGGGUAGGAGAGCCCAGAUUUGUAAGGCAGACAUCAAAGUGCUCUGUGACAUGCAGAUGUUUUCCAUGCAGAGGCUGAGAAAAGUGAUGGCCAAGACUUUGUAAACCCCACGCUGUAUUUUUUCCUUCAUUUUCUCCCUUACAUCCCCCAUUACCUUGCCUUCUCUUAUGUGGAAGAACAAAACUAUUAAAAAUGAUGGGCUGUAUCCUCAGCUGGUAUAAUUUGUUGUGACUUCACAGAGCCAUGCCUGUUUACACAAGCUGCAAAUUUCUCCCAUCAAUUUAAAUCUCUACAGAUUUACAUCAUGGGGAACAGCUCUACAUUUUUUCCCAUAGCUAAUAAGCUUCUUCAAAAAAAGAAAAGACAAACAAGCACUCUUGACAUCUAUUAAACUUGUAUUUGGAGAUAAAGAUUUCAAAGGAUGCCUUCUCCCACCCUAUCUCACGUCCUUCUUCCUGCUCCUCUGUUUAUUAGAGGGUCUUUCCAGUGUCACAUGGGCCAAAGCUGAGCUGAGUUGCCAAGAACGGUGCCCAUGGGUGAACCCAUGGCUGGAUCUGCUUCCUGACACGUAUCUCUGUUCCCUUUUUAUCUCCCCAAGUAGUGCCGCAACCCAUCCCAAAAAUCCCUGAGUCCUGCUGAGGUCAGAGCUCUCUUCACUACCACCCAGGCUCACUCACAGGAUGCAGUGAAAAAUUCCUGCUCUGUUUGAUCAAGGGCAGAAAGUUCAGUGCUCAGCUCCCUCAGCCUGGGUGAAUUCCUUAACCAACAAACUAAAGCCUCUUUUUUAAAAUGUUCUUCAUCCAUUACAUUUUCAUUCCAAGAAACAUUUCAUCUUCCUAUCAAAUAAAAGCACACUUGAAACUUCAACAUUUUCUACAAAAUUUAAUUCUUGUGUUCCCACUUGCCCCAACCAGAAGUGCUUAGCCCCAGGUCUGUAGAACACAUUGCACCGUGCUGAUUUUGUGCUGUCCUGCAGAGAAACAUGAGGAGGUUUCAUGUGACAUUACCAACUCACCUCCCACAAAAUCUCCCUCCUGUGGAUGAGUAGCGACCUGAGCACUUAGCACACAUGAAGACAGACACUUCCCAUUGGGAAGCUGUUUGCUGAGCCAUUUGGAAAUCCUAAGCACUUCUGAACCCUCAACAACAACAACAACUUUUCUGCUGGACAAUACUCUGACUGAGCCUGCUUUUGGGAUAUACUGAAUUAUCCUAAAGAGCCAGGUGACUUAAGUGCCAAAUUCCUUCCUACAUUCACUGAUUUAAUUUGACCACUGAAGCUCUCCAGGCGUUUUUGGAAGCCCCAGUUGCAAUUCCAGGAACCAGUAUGUCCAAGAUGAUCCCACGGGUUGAACACUGUCAUUAAAUGCAUGACCUGUUCCUGCUGGAGGCAAACGAUGGAGUCCCUGCAGGAGUGCAGGGGAUGAGGAGGCUGUAUCACCCAUUUCAGCAGUGGAUUUUCUGUGCAGUGUGUUUUCUGUGCUAUGGAGCCAGGCCAAGACCAGUGGGGAUCGCUGAGGCCAGGGUAAAAGCCUUACAUUUCUUCCAAUAAAAGCUGAGUCUAGUGACCUGCAAAAUAUGUUGCAGAUACGUUUUCUUCAUGGAUUAAGGAGAAAGCAACCAAGAUGAUGAGGACUUGGAGCUCACAGUGACAAAGGAGGGGCUGAGAGAAUUAGACUUGUUCAGCCUCUAGAAGAAAAGAUGAAUAGGAGACCUUACUCCUGAGACAGCACCAAGAAGGCAGAUCCAGGCUCUUCUGGAAGGUGCACAGCUCUGCUGGCCAUUGCACUGACUCUUUGUGUUUCCUGGAAGGCUCUUUCAUAACCCACCUUCUCCAGCAUGAUGUUUGCUGCCUUCUGUAGGAUCUCCUGCUCCAAGAUCAACGUUUCCAUGCUACUCCUCUUUCCCUGAGACUGCUGACUUGCCGGGGGUUAAGCUGUCUCUAGAACAGCCCCUAUCCCAUUUAGCCUCUAUCCCGGGAUUUUCUUCCAUGAAAAAGGCACUGUAAAGGCUCUGGACCCUGUGCUAUGAUUUACACUUUUUCAUCUCCUGCAGAAAGCCUGCCGUGUAUGUGAUGAUACCAUUCAGCUCCGUUUACCUGAGAACUUAAAAAAAUACCAUCGGAGGUUGUUUUUUCCAUAUGGGUAAAUAGUAGGGGUGGGAGUAUUCCUUAUGGGAAACCUGGAACAGUCGCACUCUGUGGGCCUGACAUUUCCUGCUGUAAUUGAAACUUUUGAAGUUAAAAAUUCCAUUUACACAGUGUGUCUCCAAGGCAGGCGGGGAGAAGGGCAGAGGUGGGCUUGGCGUUAGUGCACGGUUUCCCCACCCCCCCCACUGCAGCCAGUUAAAUACAGCAGGUGAGUGCAGAGAUGUAAGGGCAGGAAUAUGAGGAAGGAAAUUCCAGCUGAGUUAGGUAAUUUGGGUCAGAGGAAGCCAGGCGUAGUUACAGAGGCAGGUACAGAUCAAAUCAACUCAAGGCUCUGGGUCUCUGAGCUGCCCAUGCCCUUGCCCAGGCGGGCAGGGAGCGCUGCAUCCACGUGGUCCUGUCUCCACGGGAUGUGUGACACAAACUUCCAGGCUCUGCCUCAAGAGGAUGGAAAAAUGAGGAGAAACAACUUUGUCCUCUUGCAGGUUAAAAAA